CCUACGGGGCGCAGCAGUGGGGAAUAUUGGACAAUGGGCGAAAACCUGAUCCAGCCAUGCCGCGUGUGUGAAGAAGGCCUUCGGGUUGUAAAGCACUUUCAGUGGGGAAGAAAGCCUUGGGGCUAAUACCCUCGAGGAAGGACAUCACCCACAGAAGAAGCACCGGCUAACUCCGUGCCAGCAGCCGCGGUAAUACGGAGGGUGCGAGCGUUAAUCGGAAUUACUGGGCGUAAAGCGCGCGUAGGCGGUCUGAUAAGCCGGUUGUGAAAGCCCCGGGCUCAACCUGGGAACGGCAUCCGGAACUGUCAGGCUAGAGUGCAGGAGAGGAAGGUAGAAUUCCCGGUGUAGCGGUGAAAUGCGUAGAGAUCGGGAGGAAUACCAGUGGCGAAGGCGGCCUUCUGGACUGACACUGACGCUGAGGUGCGAAAGCGUGGGUAGCAAACAGGAUUAGAUACCCCGGUAGUC
rnacentral:rRNA from 1 species